UACAGAGGGGGCAAGCGUUGUUCGGAAUUACUGGGCGUAAAGCGCACGUAGGUGGCGACGUAAGUCGGGUGUGAAAGCCCCGGGCUCAACCUGGGAAUUGCAUUCGAGACUGCAUUGCUGGAGUACGGAAGAGGAAGGCGGAAUUCCCGGUGUAGCGGUGAAAUGCGUAGAUAUCGGGAGGAACAUCAGUGGCGAAGGCGGCCUUCUGGUCCAGUACUGACACUCAAGUGCGAAAGCGUGGGGAGCAAACAGG
rnacentral:rRNA from 1 species